UACAGAGGGGGCAAGCGUUGUUCGGAAUUACUGGGCGUAAAGGGCGCGUAGGCGGCCUGCUAAGUCGAACGUGAAAUCCCCGGGCUCAACCCGGGAACUGCGUCCGAUACUGGUAGGCUUGAAUUCGGGAGAGGGAUGCGGAAUUCCAGGUGUAGCGGUGAAAUGCGUAGAUAUCGAGAGGAACACCUGCGGCGAAGGCGGGUUGCUGGGCCGACACUGACGCUGAGGCGCGAAAGCCAGGGGAGCGAACGGG
rnacentral:rRNA from 1 species